rnacentral:rRNA from 1 species
UACGGAGGAUGCAAGCGUUAUCCGGAAUGAUUGGGCGUAAAGCGUCCGCAGGUGGCUUUGUAAGUCUGCUGUUAAAGAGUGAGGCUCAACCUCAUAAAAGCAGUGGAAACUACAAGGCUAGAGUACGUUCGGGGCAGAGGGAAUUCCUGGUGUAGCGGUGAAAUGCGUAGAGAUCAGGAAGAACACCGGUGGCGAAAGCGCUCUGCUGGGUCAUAUCUGACACUGAGGGACGAAAGCUAGGGGAGCGAAAGGG